GAUGAACGCUAGCGGAAGGCUUAAUACAUGCAAGUCGAGCGGUAAAAAUCUGAGCAAUUGGAUUUGAGAGCGGCGCACGGGUGAGUAACGCGUACAUGACCUACCUUUAAGAUCGGGAUAGCCCUGGGAAACUGGGAUUAAUACCGGAUGUGAUAAUAAGUAUAGAGAUUUAUUAUUAAAGCUGAGGCGCUUAGAGAUGGGUGUGCGUCUGAUUAGCUAGUUGGUAGGGUAAAGGCCUACCAAGGCGACGAUCAGUAGGGGCGUGAGAGCGUGAUCCCCCACACGGGUACUGAGACACGGACCCGACUCCUACGGGAGGCAGCAGUAGGGAAUAUUGCGCAAUGGGCGGAAGCCUGACGCAGCGACGCCGCGUGAGCGAAGAAGGCCCUUGGGUCGUAAAGCUCUGUCCUUGGGGAAGAAGGCGAAAGCUUGACGGUACCCAAGAAGAAAGCCCCGGCUAACCUACGUG
rnacentral:rRNA from 1 species